GGAGUGUGUAGCAACUCACCUGCCA
rnacentral:misc_RNA from 1 species